UUCACCUAAUGUUCAGUCUUAAAAUCACAAUGUUUCUAGGAAAAAACUCCUUUGUUAGCUACAUUGUACUUAGUGCUCUUUGCCUCCUGAUAUAAAGUAAUCGUUGUAAUUUCUCCAUUUCUCUGUGUGCUGUCUUCACUGUAACUUAGCUACACUGGCCCUUUGCAAUACUAUUGUUUGGUUUUUGGCUUUUUGCUAAUCCUUUACUUUUGAGAUGACUCAACAUUGGGGAGAUAAAUGGACCCUCUUUGAAACCAUAAUGAUAAUUUUGUUUAAAAAUCUUAACCAUUUAUUUUUAUAAGCUGGCUUAUUGUCAUUUGGUCAUGUUUCUAUUCUUAAUAACUUCUCUGAACUCUGAUCAGGUACACAAAUCCUUGACUUCAGGUCCUUCUCAUGCUAUUGACAUAACAAGGGAGGUACACAUUUUCCUUGAAAGUAUGAUACAUGAGCCUAGUUCAUUUUUGUCAAAUUCCAUGUAUGAUAGUGAUGUUAAUUUUUUGUUUUUGUGUUACCGUUUUACAUUUGAACCAUGACCAUAUGCAAUCUGAGGUGUGGGGAGGCUCAUGAGGUUCCUUGGAGAUCUUUCUCAAUUGUCUCUAGCAUCCCUGGAUUAAGCUGAGAAAAUAAACUUUGUAUGCAAGGUUGGUCAUCUUGUGCACAAUGUAUGAGGACAGAGAUGACAUUUGUAUACAAGGAUGUUGUUUGAAUUGCUUGUCCUAACAGGUGCACAAGUUGGGAUGGAUUGGACUUCUAUCUUGAGAAAAUGCCAUGAUUUUAGGGCUGCUUUCGCCGGGUUUGAUGCAGAAAUCGUCGCCAACUUCACAGAAAGACAAAUAGCAUCAGUGGCCACAGAUUGCAACCUGGAUUUAAACAAGGUUCGAGGUGUCGUCAACAAUGCUAACAGAAUCCUCCAGGUCAGAUUGUUGAUUGGACCUGAUUUUAUUUAAAUGAUCUUGAUAAUCCAUUUUAUUUAAAUGAGCA